rnacentral:rRNA from 1 species
CGAACGCUGGCGGCGUGCUUAACACAUGCAAGUCGAACGGAAAGGCCCUGCUUUUGUGGGGUGCUCGAGUGGCGAACGGGCGAGUAACACGUGAGUAACCUGCCCUUGACUUUGGGAUAACUUCAGGAAACUGGGGCUAAUACCGGAUAGGAGCUCCUGCUGCAUGGUGGGGGUUGGAAAGUUUCGGCGGUUGGGGAUGGACUCGCGGCUUAUCAGCUUGUUGGUGGGGUAGUGGCUUACCAAGGCUUUGACGGGUAGCCGGCCUGAGAGGGUGACCGGCCACAUUGGGACUGAGAUACGGCCCAGACUCCUACGGGAGGCAGCAGUGGGGAAUAUUGCACAAUGGGCGGAAGCCUGAUGCAGCAACGCCGCGUGCGGGAUGGCGGCCUUCGGGUUGUAAACCGCUUUCGCCUGUGACGAAGCGUGAGUGACGGUAAUGGGUAAAGAAGCACCGGCUAACUACGUG